UAAAGGUCCGUGUAUGUGUUUUGUGGUAAGGUCUGUGGCAAUGUCUGUGGGAAUUUUAAACCUGUGUUUUAAACUAAACCACAUACGAAUCACCCAAAGUUCGAUUAUUAUUUUAUUAUUUGCUGUUAUUUGGUUAAUAUAAGUGAAAUGAAUACCAGUACAGAGACCAGUAUUUCUAAUAGCAGUUAUUGCUGCGAAUGUGAUCGCAGUUUUGUGCGUUUUAGUGUGCUUCGGAAACAUGUUAAAAAAUUUCAUCCGAAUCAGAUAGAUGAAAUAGCACCUUUAAAAACUAAAGUAUAUGCAUUUACCUGCGAAUUUUGUAAUAAACAUUUUAGCGCAAAGAGGAAUUUAGCAUGGCAUUUAAAAUCUCAUGCACAAGUGGCACAAGGUGAUGGUUCAAAUAAUACCAAUAUCCCGGUACAAAAUAUUAGAAAAAAAUGUCCUAUGUGUGAUUUUGGCAGUAGGUUUAAAGAUGACUUACAUGAACAUUUUAAACGGGAUCAUGAUAUUACCGUUAAAACAAAUUACAUGAACUUUUCCACAGCAGAGCAAUUUAGUUCAUGGUUCUCUCAAACCGAAAAGGAAACACAAACUAAAUUUGUUUUAGAAAGACGUGUAACAGCAUCUAAAGCUAUUUAUACUAGCUAUGUGUGUCACCGUUCAGGUUUUUUUAUAUCAAGAGGUUUUGGAAAACGUCAUCUAAAAUCUCAAGGCAGUAAAAAAAUUAAUGGAUUUUGUCCAGCUAGAAUUCAAGUAACCAUUAACAAAUAUUGUGAUAGUCAUAAGGUCAGUUUUGUAGAGACACAUGUUGGGCAUCAGAAUGAUUUGUGUCAUUUGUUUUUGACCAAUGAUGAACGAAAAGUAUUAGCCACUAAGAUAUCUAUGAAUAUACCAUUUGAUGAAAUAUUAAAUGAGAUUAGAGAUACAGUUAGUACGAAUUCAAUGGAGAGAAUGCAUUUAUUGACGAAAAAAGACUUGUUUAACAUAGAGGCUUGUUUUAACUUGGACUCUACAUCACAGAGACAUAAAAAUGAUGACAUUAAUGUGGACGCAUGGGUAGAGGAAAUGAAAAGUUCCUGUGUCUUGUUUUACAAACCACAAGGCACUAUCCUGGAAGACUAUCCACAAUUUAGGCAGGAAGAUUUUAUUUUAAUUAUAAUGACAGAAGAUCAAAAAAUGAUGUUGUUAAACUAUGCCCAAAAUUAUAUUUGUAUAGAUGGAAUCCAUGGUCUUAACAACAAUAAUUUCAAGUUAUAUACACUUCUAGUUUUGGAUGAACUUCAUCAAGGAUUUCCAUGUUCAUUUUUAGUAUCUAAUCGUAGUGAUGAAGUAGUUAUGAAUACUUAUUUCAAUUGUAUAAAAGCAGAAGUCGGUAAUAUUGAAACCAAAGUUUUCAUGUCAGACAUGGGUGAAUCUUAUUAUAAUGCGUGGAUUCAAAUAAUGUCAGAAGCACAAUUUCGAUUAUUCUGCAGCUGGCAUGUUGAUAGUGAAUGGAGAAAAAAUCUACAUAAUAUUAAACUUAAGGAAAAUCAGGCUACCAUUUACAAAAUGUUAAGGACUUUAAUGCAAGAAAGUGAUACUGUUACAUUUGAAAAAAUGAUUAAUGAAUUUGUAGUUCAGUUAUUUGAAAAGUCUGAAACUGUUGAAUUUGCAAAGUAUUUUCAAAACUAUUAUGUACAAAAUUGCAAAAGUUGGGCUUAUUGCUAUUGGAUUCACUCUGGACUAAACACUAAUAUGCACCUAGAACGCUUACAUAAAUCUAUUAAGCACAUAUAUUUGCGGGGGAAGAAGGUUCAGCAUUUGGAUAAAACUUUGGGAGUAUUAAUGAAGUUAGUGAGAGACCUUUUAUUUGAUAGAUUACUUUCUUUAAAUGAAGGGAAAAUUUCAUCAAAACUAAAAGAGCUACAGAAACGACACGAAUCUAGUAUAGUGCUAAACACAAACUCUAUUUGUGAGAAAAACGAAGGAAUUUGGUUGAUACAAUCUACAUCUGGAUCUAGUAGUGUAUAUACAAUUUCUGAAAAUAAUACUAGCUGUGAAUGUCAGUUGUCUUGCUCGCAAUGUAAGACCUGUAUUCACAAAUAUUCUUGUGAUUGCAUAGAUUGUGCAAUUCGUUGGAAUAUGUGUAAACACAUACAUUUGUUAUGCAGAUACCUUAAAGAACAAAAGAAUACAAAUGAAGCCCCUUGUCUUGAAUAUUGUUCUGACGAUUCAGAAAAUUUUGACACAAUGGAAUCACAGACAUUUAAAGAAACAGAACAGAAAAUUAAUCAGAUAAGUAGUAAUAUUACUCAUAUAGUUGGUAACAAUGAUCUUUGUAAUAAGAAGAAAAAACUACUGGAAAAGAUAUCACGAGAAAUUUUAAGCAUCGAAAACAUUAACCAGUUUAAAGCAAUAGAAAAGAUUGUUGCUUCUAUUGGACCAACACUAAAAGCUCUGCAGUGUACAGCUGUGCAGAAAAAUAUUAUCCAACAAAGAAGACUUCCAAAAAAAGCGUCCAAGAAAAGCCUCCCGAAAAUUUAUUAAACCCUCUGAGCUAGAAGAAAAUAAUGUAGCUCUUAUUAUAAAAUAAAUUAAAAUUAAAGAGCACUGUUUAUUAGAGAUGAGCGAUAUUUUUGUACCGGCGACUUUUACCGGUGACUUGCACGGCCACCGGUAAUACCAGUGACCUAUGUCUAUGGCAAAGAGCGACCAGCGACCCUGGUCGCUGUUAAUAAAGUCUCAGCGGUGAACAGAAAACUAUCUAUAAUGACUACGAUAUGGUCGCCGCGCCUGUCCCUGGUCGCUGCAUCGAAUCUUGGGCCCAGCGGUGAAAUGUGCCACAGGCGAUAUAUUGCAAAAUGCAGAGGAGCGUAUUAUAUGAUUUAUUUUUUAUAACCCACUAAUUGUAGGACAGAGACUCUGGAUCUAUUAUCACAACCUACUCUUGGAAUCAUAAUAUUGUAUUACAUUUUAUAUUAUAAAAUAUAAUACAUUAGUAUAAAUUUAAUUAUCAAUUUUCAAAAUUGUUUAACUAACAAAUUUAAUUGUAUAACUAUGUAGUAGUCAGAAACAAUUUUUUUCUUAAAAUUUUGAAUACUUGUGAUUGUAAAUGAAUAAGUUUGUUGUUAUUGGAUGCGGAACUCGUUCAGAUAUUAAUGUUAAAUAAAAAAAAUCAUUCUCUGUUUAUACCUGACAUUUAUACAAUGUAUGUAUCUUUCCGUAAUUAAUUGACAGGUGAUGCCUAUAAUGUGAAAAACAAGAAUAUUUGAGCGGCUCUCCUAACGGGAUAUAAAUUUAAAAUUAAUCUAAUACAUAAAUAGAAAUAGCCAUAUUAAAUAUUAAAUAAACUUCCCAAGACAAAAAGAAAUGGUAUCUAAAACGUUAUAAUAUCUUUGUUUUGACUUGAUAAAAGCUAAUCCAUUCACGUUUUUUUUUCUGUCGCACUUUUAUUAAUUACUUCCUUUUUUUUACUUUUUUCUUUUCCACAAUAAUAAACAUCGCAACUAUUAUAGACGUACAGCGGCGGCAGCAUAUCGAUUGAGCUAAUUUAACCAGCGACUUCAGUCGCUGGUCGCUAGAAGUAAAAAUUAUUCAGUGGUCGCUGGCACACAUCGAUACGCCCGGUCACCGUCUCGGCUCCUAGCGCAAGCUGCAAACGGGAUCGGAUGAAGACGAGCAGGUAUUUUGUAUCGUUGAGUCUCGACGGUCGCGGUGACUUAAGUUGCUGCUAAAAUAAUAAUAAUAGUAAAAAGAUUUAUUGCAUGGAAAAAUAAAAUUUUACAUACAAAGGUGGCCAGUAUCAACAGGGUUGUUUUUUCAUGACCACCUAAAGGUAAUAACAAUAAUAUAACAUUAAAUAAAACAUUCCAUAAAUAUAAUAACAACAAUAAUAACACUGCAGGGGUGCAUGUUGUCACCUCCACGCGGUGCAUCCCGGGCAACGGAAUUUUCCGGCUAACGACAACACAACCACUUGUAGGGCUAACCCCCUUCAAGUGUGUAGAACGGGUUCCAAAAAUAAGUACCCAAGCCUCGGAGGAGCGUCGUAACGAUCGGGGACGACGCGGGAACUCACAGCCCGAUCAAAAUGUUGACGAUCCAGCUUCGACACUACCGACACAAAAUGACACAACAAACACUCCACAUCACUCAAUGGACGUUCAAGAGCUAAUUGUCCCCGCCACCGGAAGUGUUACGCAGAAUCCCCCUUCUGUGUCCACCCAAGUGGUGAAUGAACCAGUAAAACAGCAGCAGAGUAGACGGCGCAUUGUAUGGACAACUGAAAUGAACAAAAAUAUCAUGCGCUACUUUCGUGUGACGAACCUUGAGAGAGAUACCGCACUAUAUGCAGACAAACUUCAAGAAGCCUUUGUCGCGAUCUACCCCCAUUUGUCUCAUAUACCACAAAAGAGAGCAGCUAUGCAGAAAAAUGUAAUACUAAGGAAUAAUUUGCUACCCGAAGCCGUAGUAGAUAUUUUAAAAGAAGAGGUCGAGAAGGAGCUGCAAGAGAAAAAUGUUGCACUUGAUAGAACUGACAAUCGAGAAACACUCCUAGAACCUGAGACACCUACAAACAAUAGUUCAAAAAAGAAUCAGCCACGAUCUGAACUGCGACAAGAAAAUCCUAUCUUCACAAAAAUGAGUAAUACAUUGGAACAACUUCUUAUUGAGUAUGAUGGCAUAGAUCCGAAAAACAGGCAACUUUUGCCCAAGCUCAAUUAUAAUUCCCAGACGAAUGCACUAAUUUCGACAAUAAACAGAAUUAUCGAAACAAAACCUCUUGCAGAUUAUAAUAUGAUUCAACUUCAUUUACGCAUCUACUGUGCCGCAAGAACAGUCCUUAGUCAGAAUCAGAAGUUGUUUACUAGUCUUUCAGAAACCUCUAAAAAGAUCGCUACGAAACCAAAAUGGCAGCUGCGUCUAGAAAAUAAAAUUAAAAACCUUAGGCGGAAAAUAGGUAUUACCACAGCACUAUCAAACCAUAAACUUACCAAUAUGCAAAAAACCAACAGACAUCCAACAAAAGCUAUAUAUGAAACCACCUACAGAACACAAACACAUAAUAACUGAUUACGUGGACACUUUAAAACAAAAACUAGCAGUGUAUAGCAAAAGACUGCGUAGAUAUGGAGACUCUAAUGCAAGAAAAAGAGACAACCAACUCUUUCGGAAAAAUCAGCGAUCUUUUUAUAGAAAACUUCGACAAGAUGCUGUAGACCCUGGAAAUGGAUUCAGAAAGAGGAAGAAAGGUUUUCAAAUAUCCAAAAAAUGCCAUACACAUUAAUAACUUGCAAGGAUGUUGAAGAAACUCUGUUGAAAUCCGCCAACUGGAGAGCACCUGGCAUAGACGGUAUACAUAACUUCUGGUUGAAACGACUGAAUGUGUUACACCUACACAUUGCACGUAUAUUUAACAGUUUUAUCGAAUCUCCAUCACUCACACCCCAUUUUUUUACAGAAGGAAUUACGUAUCUUCUUCCUAAAUCCUCUAAUACAUCUGACCCAUCUCAAUAUAGGCCAAUCACCUGUUUGCCGACAUUAUAUAAGCUCCUCUCGGGAAUUCUGUGCACAAAAAUCUAUAACCACCUCUCAGAGCACAACAUUAUGACUGCAAAUGCAAAGAACAACUAACCAUUGACGCCGUUAUUCUUGAACAGACCCGAAAACUAUGUCGCAAUAUAAACAUCGCAUACAUUGACUACAGAAAAGCGUUCGAUACUAUUCCUCACUCCUGGCUACUUCAUGUAUUGGAAAUUUAUGGAAUCAAUCGUGACAUCGUCAAGUUUCUGAAAGACACUAUGAUUGAGUGGUCUACCUCAUUGCAAAUUACACAAGAAGAAACACAACUUAAAACCAAUAAAAUACGCAUACAGAGAGGAAUAUUUCAAGGUGAUUCGCUAAGUGCUUUUUGGUUUUGCCUAGCACUUCACCCAAUAUCCAACACCGUUAAAAAUACAAAAUAUGGCGUGAACGUCAAAGGAAGCAGGAACCAAUGUAGAAUCAAUCAUCUAUUCUACAUGGAUGAUCUCAAAUUAUACGCUGCCAACAGGAAACAACUUGAUAGUAUACUCGAACUGACUAACAACAUGACGCAAGAUAUAGGAAUGUCUUUUGGGCUAGACAAGUGCAAAAUUGUUACCGUCGAAAAAGGCCAGUUGAUGGAUGGAUUAGAUUUUGAGCUGGAAGGUGGAGAUUUUAUUGAGAGAAUUGGGAUUGGUCACUACAAGUAUUUAGAAAUCAUACAAACACAUAAAAACGAACAACUAAAAUAAAAUAAUGAAAGACAAAUACUCAAAAGAAUUCAAACAAAGACUUGUGAGCACUCAAAACUAAACUUUCAUCAAAUAAUAUCAUAAAAGCUAUUAAUACUUGUGCCGUUCCAGUUUUUACAUACUCUUUUGGUAUUGUUAAGUGGUCUGAUACAGAUCUGGAAGCACUUAAUCGAUUGGUCCGCACCACUUUGACUAAAUUCCAAAUGCAACAUCCAAAAUCAUCACAGAUAAGAGUAAACCUCCAAAAAUCGGAAGGAGGAAGAGGAUUAAUCGACCUCAAAAAUCUUCACUAUGCACAAAUCCAUGACAUGCGUCAGUAUUUUUAUAAAAAUGAAUCCAAGGAAGUACACCGAACAAUUAUUGAGUCAGAUAAAUCCUAUACACCCCUAAACUUAGCAAAUAGGAAUGAAAAUCUGAUUAAUCUUAUAAAGACAGACCACCAGAAAUAUCAAGAAUGGGCAUCUAAACAACUUCAUGGUAGAUACAAAAAUAACAUAGAUGGCGGUCAUAUAGACAAAACAAAAUCUUUAAAAUGGCUAACACUAGGUUAUUUGUUUCCUGAGACCGAAGGAUUCGUUGUUGCAAUUCAGGAUCAGGUCAUCAAAACAAAAAACUAUGAAAAAUACAUAAUGAAGCAAGAUAAUGUAAUUGACAAAUGUCGCAAAUGUGGAAAGCCUCAGGCCUCAGGAAAACCUUGAUCAUAUUACGUCAUCAUGUGUGACACUAGCUCCUACGAAAUAUCUAAAAAGGCAUAACGAAGUAGCUACCAUCCUCUACAAGGAAAUAUUGAGGAAAUACUCGUUGCUUGAAGAAGAUCCUAAACCCUAUUACUCAUUCGAACCAAAGCCAGUCAUCGAAAAUGAAGAGGUAAAGAUAUACUGGGAUAAGACAAUACUCACAGAUGCGACAAUACCGCACAACAGGCGGGAUAUAACACUAAUUUAUAAACGUAACAUACAAGUCAAGCUCAUAGACAUAUCCGUACCAAACACACAAAACUUGACCCAAAAAUAUCAAGAGAAAAUACAUAAAUAUACUCACGAAAAAAAUAAUAAUCACACCUUUGAUUACAAUAAAACAAGAAUUUUAAACACCGAAAUUAAUUUGAAAAAACGAGAAUUCCUUGAAAUGAUUCAGAUACAAAAAAACAAAAAUGCAAUUAACGAAAAAAAAGAUGUCGAUAAGCUAAGUAGAAUAUACACACCAAUCUUGUAAAUAGAAACGCUUCAGUACAGAAAAUACAUUGAGCCGGCCAUCACAAUUUAUUAAAAUUUUAAACUGUAUAUGUUAAUUAUUGUGUCAUGUGGGCGAUAUUGUAUGAGUAUAAUUUUAAGUUAAAUGUUAUGUGUUAUCACCUGUUAUUUUAUGCACCCAUGUUUUAAUACAAGUUUGACGAAGGAAAUGUACGUUUUGUGGCUUUGAAAAAGGUUAAAACUGGACCGAAAUGUUAGUUAUAUAAUAAACACUUCCUAAACCCAGAAAAAGUUUAAUAUUGACCAAAAGCCAAGAACCCUAUAAAUAAAAAAUAUACUCACCUUGCACAAGAGAUCGAAGCGAUGUGGAAUAUGAAGGUUAGCAUUAUACCCAGUAUUAUAUCAGUUGAAGGCAUUGUACCAAAGACUCUUGAACAAAACUUGAAAUUACUGAACAUUACUGCAAAUACUUACAUUUAUAUGCAGAAAGCUGUUAUUCUUAACACAUGUAACAUUGUGCGGUCAUUCCUAGGAUCAACAUUGUAAGAAUUCUUGGCAAAGACCCGAAUUCCUACAUUAUAACCAGCUAUACUGAGCCUUUGACUCAUGUCAAGAUGGUAAAUAUUCGAUAUAUGUUGGCUAACAUGGUCUCUACGAGGAAUCAGUUUUACAUAUCUUACGCUUUUUGUACUCUAUAUUUAUUAAAAGUUGUCAAAAAAGGACCAUACACAACGUCCAAAAAAAAAAAAAGAAACUUACUUUAAAUCAUAGACGUAGCAGUAUAUUCGACGCAUAUUCCAUGACAAUGCGCUUAAAAUAAUUUGGGCUGAGGGACUUCAUAUGAUCAGGCAAGAUGUUGUACACAUGCCCAGCUAGGUAAAAGAAACAAACAGUUUUUAAAAAAAUUGCGUUUCAUGUCUAGGAAUGCAAAUCGCGUUUUGAUUGCGGACGUUCACUGGGAUGACUUCACUACGCCUAACCAUGGCCUCAGUCAGGUAGGAAGGAAUACCCGUGAUUACAACCUGCUUGUGUAAGAGGCAGGACAUGUGCAAGGUUAUUAAAAGGACGUGUACAAAACGCCUUUGACUCAUGUCAAGAUGGUAAAUAUUCGAUAUAUGUUGGCUAACAUGGUCUCUACGAGGAAUCAGUUUUACAUAUCUUACGCAUGAGUUUUGUAUUUUUUGUACUCUAUAUUUAUUAAAAGUUGUCAAAAAAGGACCAUACACAACGUCCAAAAAAA